rnacentral:rRNA from 1 species
GAUCCUGGCUCAGGAUGAACGCUAGCUACAGGCUUAACACAUGCAAGUCGAGGGGCAGCAUGGUCUUAGCUUGCUAAGACUGAUGGCGACCGGCGCACGGGUGAGUAACACGUAUCCAACCUGCCGUCUACUCUUGGACAGCCUUCUGAAAGGAAGAUUAAUACAAGAUGGCAUCAUGAGUCCGCAUGUUCAUAUGAUUAAAGAUUUCGUGAACGAUGGGGA